rnacentral:rRNA from 1 species
GGGAGGUAGGUGACAAUAAAUAACAAUACGGGGUUCUUAAGGAUCUCGUAAUUGGAAUGAGUACAAUUUAAAUCUCUUAACGAGGAACAAUUGGAGGGCAAGUCUGGUGCCAGCAGCCGCGGUAAUUCCAGCUCCAAUAGCGUAUAUUAAAGUUGUUGCAGUUAAAAAGCUCGUAGUUGAAUUUCGGGAUCAAUUUGUUGGUCGUGCCUCGGUACGUACUGGCAUUAUUGGUUUCUACCUUCUGAAGAACCUUGAUGUCAUUAAUUUGGUGUCUUGGGGAAUCAGGACUGUUACUUUGAAAAAAUUAGAGUGUUUAAAGCAGGCAUACGCUUGAAUACAUUAGCAUGGAAUAAUGAAAUAGGACGUUUGAUUCUAUUUUGUUGGUUUCUAGGAUCGACGUAAUGAUUAAUAGGGAUAGUUGGG